UAUGGCAAUAUCACAUUGAAGCACCAGUUCCUGUACGAUUAUUGAGGUUAAGCAACACUAGGCCUUGUCAGUUCCUAGAUGGGUGACCACAUGGGAAUACCAGGCACUGUAAG